CCAAGAGCCUACUAUUCUUUACCAAAGAAUUUUUCCAUCUGUACGACCCAGGCUGCCCAGUUUGCGUUGGUCGAAGGCCAGGCUCCUUGAGGCCUUAAUAGGCACCAUUUUGACCAAUCAAAUCCUUGCAGCAAAUGUGCCAGGCAGUGUUCUUUGAAGAGGUUGGUGAUGGACGAUGGCACUGCAUCUUUAAAUAGUGGUCCCAGGAUUUGAUGAGUAUUGUUUACAUCACUCUCGAAUAGCAUAGUCUUGACAGCGCUCCAAU
rnacentral:lncRNA from 1 species